UACGGUUUUUUUGAUCCAAACAGGGGCUUAGUGAACUGGAUAAACAACUUUCAAGCUAGGUGCCUCUGUCAACGAUAUGUGCCUAAAGAUAACUGGUACGUGUGCUCCAUGAGCAAAUCUCUUGGACUCAUGGAGUUACUUUACAUUUCAACACCUAAGACAUUUGAUGAGGCCACCACCGAGUGCGCAGGGAGAGGCAGCAUUCUGGCCAAUCUCCAGAGCAUAAACCAUACAGAGUGCGCAAGGUCAGUGCUUGGACCACGAAAUGGUCAAUGCAACAGUUCCUCAAGCGAUAACUGCAGAAAUGCCUCUUAUGGCUGCGAAACCAAUACUUGCAAUGUGUGGGUUGCUCUACAACGACCAUCUAAAAAUUGGACAUGGGUGUUGCCUGUUCCAUCCACACCGAGUACAAUUCCCUGGAAAAAUUCAAUAACAGGAGUUAGUGGACAGCGAAAAUGUGGUUACUUUUCACCUGAAGAAGAGGGUUUCGGAAUCGAAUCUUGCACAAUGAAGCUAAGUUUCUACUGUCAGAGAUAUACACCAAAUGCGCCCUCAGGCAUAGCUGUCAACUCAACGGACACUGGAAUAUAUGCACGCAUAUUGCAGCCACAGAUACUACGAGAUUGGGUACCAGAAUUCUGCUUUGUGUACGACAAAAAUGACACUGUGGCUAAGCCAACUGUAGUUUGUAACAAUAACGAGUCAAUCGUGUUGUCGGGCCUGGAAACCAAUACUUUGUACAGGGUCAGAGCAUUCUUCAAAACUACGAUCGGACACAAUAGUAGCAUGUCCCUUGUAGUCAGCAUUGGAACAGUGCCUAAAGGUAAGGGAUAUCAUUACAUCAAACACCGACCACGAACAGGGGUGAAGAAUUUUGUGAGAUUCGUGUUGUACCUCGCACAUUCCUUUUUGCAUGGUCUCUUUCCCCAAAUGACGUUCAUAUGUCAAUUGCAUGAUUCUCAGGUCAAGCAUUGCUGAAUCAGGUUAGGGAUUAGUUACCCGUGUGCCCAAUUCAUUUGGUUGAUGGUGCAGUGAUCAAAGGGAAGAAGUUAAGAAAUGAAAAAAACAUUUCUUCUCAAUUAUCCCAUGGGAGAUUUCCUUCUCCACAAAUAUGCAUUGGAAUAUUAACAGGCCUUUUUAAUGCAGACCGCAAAUACUAUGUACGUAUGAACAAUUUACUGAUACAUACGUGAUCUGAAUAUGUUUUUAUUAGCGCCAACAUCGCCUGACAAUUACGUCCUCUCAAGUACUUCCAUCACUGUCUUUAUAGGCCGAACAGAAGGCAAAAACCUUCCCAUACUCCAGUAUUGUGUGUACGGAAGGCCUGCAAAUGAUAUAUCUGGGAAUAUGACAUCGAUACCAGUGUGCAACGCGUCUGAAAAUGUUACCUUGAUUGGCCUGGCUCCAGGCAUGACCUAUAAUGUCACCACCUAUGUAAGCAAUGCCUAUGGAGACAGUGCUCAAUCGACCUCCACUCGCAUCACCACGUUGCAUCAAGCACCAACAACUGAUCAAGUCGACGCAACCAGUGGCUACCAAGCUAGCGCAAGCGGCUCCAAAUCUGCAGUGAUAAUUGCGGGAGGGUCUGGCGCAGGACUGCUGGUGCUGGCUGCGACGGUUUUCCUGCUAUGGAAAUUAAAGUUGACACCCGCGAAACCUGAUCCUGUGCUGACUACCUGCCAACUGGACGUAAGAACUCAAUCUGUUUCCCAUGAUGAUGAACUUGAUUUGGUUCAGAACACGCGCACUAGUAUGGAAACCAAUGAGGCGUACGAGAGCUGGAUCCUGGCUAGGAAUGAUGCAUAUGGCUGUGUGGAUUUGCGCGAGAAUGAUGUUCUUCGUGCCGGAUGCGGAGCUGGGCGUGCAGAGGAAGGGGGACCGGCCACAGAAGAACAGCAUUUUUAUGUCAGCAUCCAAUAACGCCAAAUGUUUUUCACAAUUUUGACCGACUGAUACAUAUCCUCAACGAAAUGCAAAUGAUACAGUAGCAUUUAACUCUGUUGUUGAGCCAAUAGUAAUAUGUAAAGCGAAAAAGGACCUUUAAAAUACUAGCUAUGACUAACAGUCCACAAAGGUACAGAGAUAAUAUAAAGCCAGGUGAAGUGUCAGAUCAGUGUCAUGUCGUUAAAUGUCUCAAUAUACUUGUCAGUCUUGUGCCGUGCUGUCUCACUAUCUGAUGUUAUAAUUAUUAACUCGUUACCUUGGCGGACAGUUAAUUAUAACUAGUAACUUAUAGGGCCUUUUUUCUCUUUGCACAAAACUGUAUCAUGGUAUACUUUUUCAUGGCAAGCACGCGAUAUGUUGCAGUCUUUCUGAGUUUUUUCUUCAUAUCUCUCUGCCUCUAACUCCAGUAGCGCAUGCAUUUAUCACUGAUAUACUCUCAAAUAUUUAUUGCAGCUCUUGUGUCCUGAUGUCACGCAUCAGUAUGGAUAUCAUUUGUAACUUUCACAAGUAAGUUCAGUGCUAAACCGUUCGGAGCGAGGUCUUUGAAGUAAUUUGCUAUACAUGUAUGUUGACGGUGAUUCGUAACCGAAUCUCAAUAUCUUUAUCACCGGAAGAAUUACCAUUGACAUUAUAUAUCCCACCUGUGCAUUUAAUCCCUGUCAGUAAAUCCAUUGCAUAGCAGAAAAUUGCAGCUCGUUCGUUAUAAACUUGCAGCAGGUGUAUUUUUUUUGCUUAUUUUUAUGAUUCAAAAGUCGCUAGAAUUUUAUUCACACUAUGUUUCUUUUUGGUAGCACUUCUCUCUAAAUUUCGUAUGCAUAAUCAGUAUAUCCGUUCACUGUGGUUAUGGAUUGUUUUAUAAACAUGUGCAUAACAGUAGUGGUACUAGUGA